GGACUCGUAGCUCAGCUGGUAGGGCGUGCGUAGGCGGCGUCCAUGCGUGGGUUCGAAUCCCACCGAGGCCA
rnacentral:tRNA from 1 species